rnacentral:sRNA from 1 species
AGGAUUUGGCCCGAACUGUUCGGC